GUGGGGUAUAUUGGACAAUGGGCGAAAGCCUGAUCCAGCCAUGCCGCGUGUGUGAAGAAGGUCUUCGGAUUGUAAAGCACUUUAAGUUGGGAGGAAGGGCAGUAAGUUAAUACCUUGCUGUUUUGACGUUACCGACAGAAUAAGCACCGGCUAACUUCGUGCCAGCAGCCGCGGUAAUACGAAGGGUGCAAGCGUUAAUCGGAAUUACUGGGCGUAAAGCGCGCGUAGGUGGUUUGUAAGUUGGAGGUGAAAUCCCCGGGCUCAACCUGGGAACUGCCUCCAAAACUGCAUGACUAGAGUACGGUAGAGGGUAGUGGAAUUUCCUGUGUAGCGGUGAAAUGCGUAGAUAUAGGAAGGAACACCAGUGGCGAAGGCGACUACCUGGACUGAUACUGACACUGAGGUGCGAAAGCGUGGGGAGCAAACAGGAUUAGAUACCCCUGUAGUCC
rnacentral:rRNA from 1 species